rnacentral:tRNA from 1 species
GGUGCCUGGUGCUCAAUGAAUAAGAGCUUGGCUGCUAACCAAAAGGUUGGUAGUUCGAAUCCAUCAGCCACUC